ACGCACGCUGGCGGCGUGCUUAACACAUGCAAGUCGAACGGAAAGGCCCUGCUUUUGUGGGGUGCUCGAGUGGCGAACGGGUGAGUAACACGUGAGUAACCUGCCCUUGACUUUGGGAUAACUUCAGGAAACUGGGGCUAAUACCGGAUAGGAGCUCCUGCUGCAUGGUGGGGGUUGGAAAGUUUCGGCGGUUGGGGAUGGACUCGCGGCUUAUCAGCUUGUUGGUGGGGUAGUGGCUUACCAAGGCUUUGACGGGUAGCCGGCCUGAGAGGGUGACCGGCCACAUUGGGACUGAGAUACGGCCCAGACUCCUACGGGAGGCAGCAGUGGGGAAUAUUGCACAAUGGGCGGAAGCCUGAUGCAGCAACGCCGUGUGCGGGAUGACGGCCUUCGGGUUGUAAACCGCUUUCGCCUGUGACGAAGCGUGAGUGACGGUAAUGGGUAAAGAAGCACCGGCUAACUACGUG
rnacentral:rRNA from 1 species